rnacentral:rRNA from 1 species
AUUGGCUGUCAUAUCACGUUGAAUACACCAGUUCUCGUCCGAUCACUGAAGUUAAGCAACGUUGAGCGUGGAUAGUACUUGGAUGGGGGGAUGAUAAUAAUAAUAAUAAUGAUAAAAU